rnacentral:tRNA from 1 species
GCCUUCGUUGUGUAGUAGUCAACACGCUCGACCCAUAUUCGAGAAGUCCGCGGUUCGAGUCGCGGCGAGGGCA